UACAGAGGUCUCAAGCGUUGUUCGGAUUCAUUGGGCGUAAAGGGUGCGUAGGCGGCGCGGUAAGUCGGGUGUGAAAUCUCGGAGCUUAACUCCGAAACUGCAUUCGAUACUGCCGUGCUUGAGGACUGGAGAGGAGACUGGAAUUUACGGUGUAGCGGUGAAAUGCGUAGAUAUCAGGAGGAACACCGAUGGCGAAGGCAGGUCUCUGGGACAUUAACUGACGCUGAGGAGCGAAAGCGUGGGGAGC
rnacentral:rRNA from 1 species